rnacentral:rRNA from 1 species
GAAAGCUUGCUUUUGAUGGGCGUCGACCGGCGCACGGGUGAGUAACGCGUAUCCAACCUGCCCACCACUUGGGGAUAACCUUGCGAAAGUAAGACUAAUACCCAAUGACGUCUCUAGAAGACAUCUGAAGGAGAUUAAAGAUUUAUCGGUGAUGGAUGGGGAUGCGUCUGAUUAGCUUGUUGGCGGGGUAACGGCCCACCAAGGCGACGAUCAGUAGGGGUUCUGAGAGGAAGGUCCCCCACAUUGGAACUGAGACACGGUCCAAACUCCUACGGGAGGCAGCAGUGAGGAAUAUUGGUCAAUGGACGAGAGUCUGAACCAGCCAAGUAGCGUGCAGGAUGACGGCCCUAUGGGUUGUAAACUGCUUUUAUAAGGGAAUAAAGUGAGUCUCGUGAGACUUUUUGCAUGUACCUUAUGAAUAAGGACCGGCUAAUUCCGUGCCAGCAGCCGCGGUAAUACGGAAGGUCCGGGCGUUAUCCGGAUUUAUUGGGUUUAAAGGGAGCGUAGGCCGGAGAUUAAGCGUGUUGUGAAAUGUAGACGCUCAACGUCUGCACUGCAGCGCGAACUGGUUUCCUUGAGUACGCACAAAGUGGGCGGAAUUCGUGGUGUAGCGGUGAAAUGCUUAGAUAUCACGAAGAACUCCGAUUGCGAAGGCAGCUCACUGGAGCGCAACUGACGCUGAAGCUCGAAAGUGCGGGUAUCGAACAGGAUUAGAUACCCUGGUAGUCCGCACGGUAAACGAUGGAUGCCCGCUGUUGGUCUGAAUAGGUCAGCGGCCAAGCGAAAGCAUUAAGCAUCCCACCUGGGGAGUACGCCGGCAACGGUGAAACUCAGAGGAAUUGACGGGGGCCCGCACAAGCGGAGGAACAUGUGGUUUAAUU